AGUGAACGCUGGCGGUAGGCCUAACACGUGCAAGUCGAACGGCAGCACAGUAAGAGCUUGCUCUUACGGGUGGCGAGUGGCGGACGGGUGAGGAAUACAUCGGAAUCUACUUUUUCGUGGGGGAUAACGUAGGGAAACUUACGCUAAUACCGCAUACGACCUACGGGUGAAAGCAGGGGAUCUUCGGACCUUGCGCGAUUGAAUGAGCCGAUGUCGGAUUAGCUAGUUGGCGGGGUAAAGGCCCACCAAGGCGACGAUCCGUAGCUGGUCUGAGAGGAUGAUCAGCCACACUGGAACUUAGACACGGUCCAGACUCCUACGGGAGGCAGCAGUGGGGAAUAUUGGACAAUGGGCGCAAGCCUGAUCCAGCCAUACCGCGUGGGUGAAGAAGGCCUUCGGGUUGUAAAGCCCUUUUGUUGGGAAAGAAAAGCAGCAGGUUAAUACCCCGCUGUUCUGACGGUACCCAAAGAAUAAGCACCGGCUAACUUCGUG
rnacentral:rRNA from 1 species